AAUUCAUGUAAUCACAGACGGGAAGGGUUGAGCGAUGAAUACUUGAGUGAAUCUAAUCUACAGUGAAAGGACAAUGAAUCUGAAAUCAGUCCAGAUUUAGUAAUGUUCCUUUACAACAGCACAGUAUAGACCGACCACUACAGUAUAAAUUACCGCUAAAACCAAUGUGAAUUUCAAGAGUAGGCUACACCAAAAGGAUGAAAAAAUUCCAAGGGUAGGCUACUUUAUCACAGCUUACCUUCCAUAGUUUGUGGUCAGCCUGGGCUAUGUGGCUUCUUUAAGAUACAAUAUCGACCAACAAGAAUCUACUUUGGUUUUCACAGACUACUUCCUAUAAUUUGCGCUUUUUUUUUAUUGGUUUCGAUUGUUGUACCAUGACGUGUUUCGUGUAUGUACACCUGGAACAACAGGUUGGUUUCGGUUUCGGAUGGGAAAAUCACUUUAAAAUAUCUCAAAGAGGUUUGGUUUUAAAUAUCGUUAUCAUCCAAGGUAUUACCACGAGCCAAGAGAUAAUGAAACGAACUGGUAUAUGCUCCUGUCCUGUAGAAGCCACACGUUAAAAUCUUAUUCGAGAAUGAUGUCCUUUAAAAGCACUACACUACCCACAAUCCUAAAAUGUGUCGCCUCGUCUUUGAUUGGUUGAGCUUGCUAGUACCAUGGAAACGUUUACUGCCGGCGCGGAAGUCAAGCCGUGGGUUUAUGCGGCUGAACUCGGUCGUUUGCCACAGAGCGAUCGUGACGUCCCUUUCUGACAUGACGCGGGUUUUUAGAGAUGAGGACAGAGCGUCAUGUCCAAAGGGGUGAAGACCAGUACAUGUCCUGCCAUGUACUGGACUGUGGUGUUUGUGAGAGCUAGCUUGAAUGAGAAGACAUACAGGGUGAUGCAGCCUUUUCAAGACGUAAAGAAUCGGAUUGAUAUCGGUAUCUCCUGCUAGCAAAAGAUGCGGUAUCGGUAUCGGAAGUGAAAAAGUGGUAUCGGGAUAUCCCUAGUCCUAGUCUGACUCCUUCUGGCACAAUGGCUCAGAUUAUAAAUCCCUCAUCAGCAAGUAUGAGAUCACCUGACUUGAAGACCUCCAGGAUUCCACGAUGGCCUGUCAGAAACCGAUCCAGGAUACAAUUUGCUGCAGACACAUACGUAAACAUACAUACCCAUACACAAUCAAAUACAAAGAUGUACACACACAGAAGCAUGUUGUGGCAGUGCAAGUACCAUUUCUCCAGGAAUUGUAAGAAUUCUGGUUAAAUCUGUAGAUGUAAAACUAUACGACACAGUUUACAAAUAAAGGUCCUUUUUCCUUGGAACGCAAUUUUCUUCCCAUGUCAAUAUAAUAAUUACUAAUCAUUGAGCUGAAUGGGACUAAUAGCUUUACACUAAUGUAUCCCAUUAUCUAUUGAAUGCUGUUGAAUUUUAUUAAUGUGAUUAAUGUUUUAAUUGAUAUUGAAUAUGUUGGCAUGACUAGUACAGAAAUAUGUUGGACAAUGAAGCAAGAAGGCAGCCUUUCCCACAAACCACUUUUAUUUUUUCCCCAAACAGACGUCUGAACCUUCCUGGCUCAGGAUCAGAAAGUUAACAUAAUAUAUAAAAACAAUGAACUGACACAGUACCAUUAGCCUCUUGGGGAACCUGUAGAAAAUGAUUGUGCUAGUAGAUUGUAGAUUACCCUUAAAAAGGAUCAUUAUCUUUCUUUGGCAUAAUGUCAACUUGUUCAGAAACUCUGUGAUCACAACUAUCUAUACCUGCCUAUAGGAGGUACCUGAGGGGAACAGCUUAGCACUAGCAGAGGAUGGAGGACCUAUUCUGAACAUGACAUCAAUAAUUACUUUAAGGUCAA